rnacentral:rRNA from 1 species
AUUGAACUCUGGCGGCAGGCUUAACACAUGCACGUCGAGCGAGCGGCGGACGGGUGAGUAAUGUCUGGGAACCUGCCUGAUGGAGGGGGAUAACUACUGGAAACGGUAGCUAAUACCGCAUACAAUCAGAUGUGCCCAGAUGGGAUUAGCUAGUUGGUGGGGUAAUGGCUCACCUAGGCGACGAGCCCUAGCUGGUCUGAGAGGAUGACCAGCCACACUGGAACUGAGACAGGGUCCAGAGUCCUACGGGAGGCAGCAGUGGGGAAUAGUGCACAAUGGGGGCAAGCAUGAUGCAGCCAUGCCGCGUGGGUGAAGAAGGCCUUCGGGUUGUAAAGCACUUUCAGCGAGUAGGCGUUACUCGCAGAAGAAGCACCGGCUAACUCCGUGCCAGCAGCCGCGGUAAUAC